GUCGUAUUGAAAUGACAAGAAAUAUUUUUUGUUGUGGUGCAAAUAACGUAACCAAAUCACAAUGUUUUGAUUUAUAAUUAUCAUCAAGCUGUGAUUUUCAGAAGAUUUAAAUGGCAAGAAUAAUUAGAAUAGCUUUAGACUUAACGCUGAUUUCUUUGAGAAAUGUUGGACCUGUCGUGUCGAAAGCGUGGUUCUCAGCAAAGGACUAUUUCACAACAACGUCCGCUAAACCUUUAGUUGCAAAUAGAUUUAUAACUAAAGCAGAGUGCACUAUAGAUAAAGUGAAUGAAACGUUAACGCAAAAGGUUCAAAAAAUGAGAGAUUCACUAUUGCCCAAAGAACUUGAAUAUUUAGAAAAAGAAAUCGAAAAAGUUAAGAGAGAGUUGGAGAAAACAAGGAAACCUUGAAAAUAUACUAUCUAUACGAUUCUUUUCUUGAUACUAAGACAUUCUAUGCCCUUAGUAAUAAAUAUAAGUACCAAAACAAAAAAAAUUAACUUUCUUUCUAUGUCCCUAAUAAUAUUAAUGUUUCUUAGGUUUUUAUCUUUUACAUAAUUAUUAAAUGUUCUUACGCAGGUUUGGAUAGGUUUUCAUACUUUCAAACAGAACCUUACAUUUUUCAUAGGUGGUCAAAGCAAAACCUCCGUGAAUUCGGCAACUUAAUAUUGUAAUGUAUUCAUGCCACUUUUUUGCUACGCAAACUGACAGACUAUUAAUAUUUCAAUGUUCUUUAUAGCUGCAACCACAUCAAUACGUCCAAUUGUAAGUACAGCUUGGCGAUAUGCGAAAGUUGAAAUGGUUCCCCCAAUGACAAUGGGUUUUUUCAAUGGAGCCGGUGGUAAAAACCUUGAAAAUAUGGUUUCUAAU